rnacentral:rRNA from 1 species
GAUGAACGCUGGCGGCGUGCCUAAUACAUGCAAGUCGAGCGAACAGACGAUGAGCUUGCUCCUCUGACGUUAGCGGCGGACGUGUGAGUAACACGUGGAUCACCUACCUAUAUGACUGGGAUAACUUCGGGACACCGGCGCUAAUCCCGGAUAAUAUAUUGCACCACAUGGUUCAAUAGUGAAAGACGGCUUUUCUGUCACUUAUAGCUGGAUCUGCGCUGCAUUAGCUAGUUGGUAAGGUAACGGCUUACCAAGGCGACGAUGCGUAGCCGACCGGAGAGAGGGAUAGGCCACACGGGAGCUGAGACGCGGUCAAGACUACUAAGGGAGGCAGCAGAAGGGAAUGGGCGGCAAUAGGCGAAAGCAUGACGGAGCAAGGGCAAGUGAGAGAUAGAGGUGUUGGGAUCGUAAAAAUGUGUUAUUAGGGAAGAACAGAUGUGUAAGUAAACAUGCACGUAGUGACGGUAACGAGUAAGGAAGCCACGGCUAACUACGUG